rnacentral:rRNA from 1 species
UACGUAGGGGGCAAGCGUUAUCCGGAUUUACUGGGUGUAAAGGGAGCGUAGACGGCAGCGCAAGCCUGGAGUGAAAUGCCGGGGCUCAACCCCGGAACUGCUUUGGAAACUGUGCAGCUAGAGUGCGGGAGAGGUAAGCGGAAUUCCUAGUGUAGCGGUGAAAUGCGUAGAUAUUAGGAGGAACACCAGUGGCGAAGGCGGCUUACUGGACCGUAACUGACGUUGAGGCUCGAAAGCGUGGGGAGCAAACAGG